rnacentral:rRNA from 1 species
AUUGAACGCUGGCGGCAUGCCUUACACAUGCAAGUCGAACGGUAACAGGUUAAGCUGACGAGUGGCGAACGGGUGAGUAAUGUAUCGGAACGUGCCCAGUCGUGGGGGAUAACUGCUCGAAAGAGCAGCUAAUACCGCAUACGACCUGAGGGUGAAAGCGGGGGAUCGCAAGACCUCGCGCGAUUGGAGCGGCCGAUAUCAGAUUAGGUAGUUGGUGAGGUAAAGGCUCACCAAGCCGACGAUCUGUAGCUGGUCUGAGAGGACGACCAGCCACACUGGGACUGAGACACGGCCCAGACUCCUACGGGAGGCAGCAGUGGAGAAUUUUGGACAAUGGGCGCAAGCCUGAUCCAGCCAUGCCGCGUGCGGGAAGAAGGCCUUCGGGUUGUAAACCGCUUUUGUCAGGGAAGAAAAGGUUCUGGCUAAUACCUGGGACUCAUGACGGUGCCUGAAGAAUAAGCACCGGCUAACUACGUGCCAGCCGCCGCGGUAA